AGAGUUUGAUCCUGGCUCAGGACGAACGCUGGCGGCGUGCUUAACACAUGCAAGUCGAACGAUGAAGCCCUUCGGGGUGGAUUAGUGGCGAACGGGUGAGUAACACGUGGGCAAUCUGCCCUGCACUCUGGGACAAGCCCUGGAAACGGGGUCUAAUACCGGAUAUGACACGGGAUCGCAUGAUCUUGUGUGGAAAGCUCCGGCGGUGCAGGAUGAGCCCGCGGCCUAUCAGCUAGUUGGUGAGGUAAUGGCUCACCAAGGCGACGACGGGUAGCCGGCCUGAGAGGGCGACCGGCCACACUGGGACUGAGACACGGCCCAGACUCCUACGGGAGGCAGCAGUGGGGAAUAUUGCACAAUGGGCGAAAGCCUGAUGCAGCGACGCCGCGUGAGGGAUGACGGCCUUCGGGUUGUAAACCUCUUUCAGCAGGGAAGAAGCGAAAGUGACGGUACCUGCAGAAGAAGCGCCGGCUAACUACGUGCCAGCAGCCGCGGUAAUACGUAGGGCGCGAGCGUUGUCCGGAAUUAUUGGGCGUAAAGAGCUCGUAGGCGGCUUGUCACGUCGGUUGUGAAAGCCCGGGGCUUAACCCCGGGUCUGCAGUCGAUACGGGCAGGCUAGAGUUCGGUAGGGGAGAUCGGAAUUCCUGGUGUAGCGGUGAAAUGCGCAGAUAUCAGGAGGAACACCGGUGGCGAAGGCGGAUCUCUGGGCCGAUACUGACGCUGAGGAGCGAAAGCGUGGGGAGCGAACAGGAUUAGAUACCCUGGUAGUCCACGCCGUAAACGGUGGGCACUAGGUGUGGGCGACAUUCCACGUCGUCCG
rnacentral:rRNA from 1 species